rnacentral:rRNA from 1 species
CAAUGUCCCAAGGUCAUCGCUCCAAGCCUAUAUGAGAUUGCCAUUAGGAAAAACCGCUCAGUUAGGGACUCCAUGCAUGACGAGCGCUGGCUGAAGGACCUCGCGCACGGGCUCACGGACGGGAUGGUAGAUGAGCUGACCCGACUUGCCUCCCUCCUCGACUUAGUUCAACUGACCGGCAACGCGCUUGAUCAGAUUGUAUGGAGGUUCACAGCAGAUCAAACAUACACUGCUAGGUCGGCAUACCAUAUCCAGUUCAUGGGCUCGGUUCCACCGGAGGCGACCAAGCUGCUCUGGGCAGGCUGGGCGCCGGGCAAAUGUCGUUUCUUUCUAUGGACUGCAACCCUUGGACGCAUACCUAUGACUGACCUGCUCCAAAGGCGUGGAUGGGAUAAUAACUACUUUUGCCCGCUUUGUGAACGCAACCUUGAGACAGCAUACCACUUGCUAGUUGAGUGCCCUUGGUCGCGCGGCGCUUGGGAUACACUGGUUGGGCUUACAAGUAUGCCUUCCAUGCACACUGAUAGUUGGGUGGCCACUACCAACAUCAAGGAAUGGAUGACGUCUUGCUGGAGUAAAGCCGCAUCUGAUAAGAGGAAAGGAGUUCUAUCUUUGAUGCAUCUAGUCUCCUGGGAGAUAUGGCGUGAGCGCAACCGACAGAUUUUCCAGGACUUACGAAUGGACAUGCGCACCUUUGUGCAGCAACUGAAGGACGAAAUCACUAUGUGGAACAUGGCAGGAGCUGGAAUUCCUUUUGACCCGGGUUGA